CCAUGACACCCACACGUCUAAACCACACACACACGCAAUGUAAUGAGACGCUCUAUCUGACAACGAGGUGGAUGGGCUACAACAGCAGAAGACCACGUCGGGUUCCACUUCUGUCAGCCAAGAACAGAAAGCUGAGGCUGCAGUGGGCACAGGAUCACCAAAACUGGACCGUUGAAGACUGGAAAAACGUAGCCUGGUCUGAUUUCUGCUGAGGCACACAGAUAGUAGGGUCAGAAUUUGGCGCCAACUUCAUGAAUCCAUGAAACCAACGUUCCUCGUGUCAACAGUCCAGGGUGGUGGAGGUGGUGUAUUGCUGCGGGGAAUGUUUUCUUAUUCACCUUGGACUCGUUAAUACCGAUCAGUCAUCGCUUGAAUCCCACAGCUUAUUUGAGAAUUGUUGAUGACCAUGUUCUUCCCUUCAUGGCCACAGUUUACCAUCUUCUACCAGCUCCGUCCAGCACGAUAACGCACCAUGCCACAGAGUAAAAGUCACCUCAAACUGCUCUCACGAACGUGACGAUGAGUUUGUUCUUCAGCGGCCUUCCCAGUCACCGGAUCUGAAUCCGGGAGAACGCCUUUGAGAUGUGGUACAACAGGAGACGCAAGUUCACCUGGAAAAUCAGAAUCUCAAAGGAAUGUUUCCAACAUCUACUGGAAUCCAUGCCAUGAAGAAUUGAGGCUUCUAUACCACUUAAUCCUUUUCAGGGUCACGGGGAAACCUGGAGCCUAUCCCAGGGAGCAUCCUGCACGAGGCGGGGUACACCCUGAUCAGGGUGCCAACGUAUUAGUAUAGUGUUCCUAAUAAAGUUCUCUGGAAGUGAAAAUGCUCAUACAUUAUGAUUCCAAGAUUCCAGGCCAUGUUAAAGAUUUGAAUGAAACUGCACCAGGAAUUAUCCUUCCACGGGGUUCAAAAUGACUUCGAGUCCGGAGCGCACGACUGACUUUCGAGCCGCCGCCGAAGGAGAGCGCAUUUUUAAUACCGACCCAUCACAGUGUAUUAUACCACAGAGCUGAUGAAUCUGAUUUGCUCAUUUCCUAUAAAAGCUUACAUCCUUUCAGCUACAAAGUUUACAUUAAUGUACUUUUCUCAUUCGGUAUCACAUCAAAAGUAAUCACUUACACACGGAAUCUCUACACGAUCUAAAUCUAAUAAUAAACAAUUAAAAAAAACAACAAAAAAAACCCCUUU
ensembl:lncRNA